rnacentral:misc_RNA from 1 species
AACGCACAUUGCGCCCGGUGGUAUUCCACCGGGCAUGCCUGUUCGAGCGUCAUUUCAACCCUCAAAGCCCCGGCUUUGGUGUUGGAGGAAUACCUGUAAAAGGGUACCCUCUGAAAUUUAGUGGCGGGCUCGCUAGAAUUUUGAGCGUAGUAAUUUUACCUCGUUUUUAAAAGACUAGUGGGACUUCUAGCCAUAAAACCCCCCAACUUUCUGAAAAUUGACCUCGGAUCAGGUAGGAAUACCCGCUGAACUUAA